GUGGGGUGAUGGCCUACCAAGGCUUUGACGGGUAGCCGGCCUGAGAGGGUGACCGGUCACAUUGGGACUGAGAUACGGCCCAGACUCCUACGGGAGGCAGCAGUGGGGAAUAUUGCACAAUGGGCGCAAGCCUGAUGCAGCGACGCCGCGUGAGGGAUGGAGGCCUUCGGGUUGUGAACCUCUUUCGCUCAUGGUCAAGCCGCAACAAUGGUUGUGGUGAGGGUAGUGGGUAAAGAAGCGCCGGCUAACUACGUGCCAGCAGCCGCGGUAAUACGUAGGGCGCGAGCGUUGUCCGGAAUUAUUGGGCGUAAAGGGCUUGUAGGCGGUUGGUCGCGUCUGCCGUGAAAUCCUCUGGCUUAACUGGGGGCGUGCGGUGGGUACGGGCUGACUUGAGUGCGGUAGGGGAGACUGGAACUCCUGGUGUAGCGGUGGAAUGCGCAGAUAUCAGGAAGAACACCGGUGGCGAAGGCGGGUCUCUGGGCCGUUACUGACGCUGAGGAGCGAAAGCGUGGGGAGCGAACAGGAUUAGAUACCCUGGUAGUCCACGCUGUAAACGUUGGGCACUAGGUGUGGGGGCCACCCGUGGUUUCUGCGCCGUAGCUAACGCUUUAAGUG
rnacentral:rRNA from 1 species